rnacentral:rRNA from 1 species
CCCUAUUAUAGUUAAUGUAAAUUUUAGGUUUGAGUAGUAUAUGUUUUGGGCAGGAAACUUAAAGAAUUUGGCGGUAUAUAUUCUAAUUAGAGGAAUAUGUUUUUUAAUUGAUAAUUCACAAAUAUCUUGCUUAAAUUAAUUUAUUUUGUAUAUCUCCGUCUUAAAAGAAUAUUUUAAGAUAUUUUUUAUUUUUUAUUAUAUAAAAAAAGUCAGGUCAAGAUGCAGAUCAUGUUUAAGUUAAAAUGUAUUACAAUAAAAUUAUUUAUGAAUUAAUUUUGAAAAAAAAAUUAUGAAAUUGGAUUUAUAAGUAAAUUUUUUUAUAUAAUAAUCAGUUGAAUAAUGUUAAUAUAUAUGCACACAUCCC